AUUGAACGCUGGCGGCAGGCCUAACCCAUGCCAUUCGAACGAGUGGCGGACGGGUGAGUAAUGUCUGGGAAACUGCCUGAUGUAGGGGGUUAACUACUGGAAACGGUAGCUAAUACCGCAUACCAUCGGAUGUGCCCAGAUGGGAUGAGCUAGUAGGUGGGGUAACCGCUCACCUAGUCGACGAUCCCUAGCUGGUCUGAGAGGAUGACCAGCCACACUGGAACUGAGACACGGUCCAGACUCCUACGGGAGGCAGCAGUGGGGAAUAUUGCACAAUGGGCGCAAGCCUGAUGCAGCCAUGCCGCGUGUAUGAAGAAGGCCGUCGGGUUGUAAAGUACUUUCAGCGGGGAGGCGUUACCCGCAGAAGAAGCACCGGCUAACUCCGGGCCAGCAGCCGCGGUAAUAC
rnacentral:rRNA from 1 species